GGCCAGGCUCAGCUACUGCAACACAUUCAAACCACCGAAAUCGGACACUAAAUUACCGAAUGGCUUGUUUCUUAAACCACGUGAAUAACAGAUUAAUCUAGUAAAAUGUUGUUACAUUGUAGUAUUUCCUGUAAGUGGCCACCCCUAACAGUAGACUCUGUGAAGCCUACUUAGUUUGACCCGGUUUGAUCUUUAGAUGGCCAUCUACUAGACCAGUACCGUCUGUACAUGCCGGUUGCUGUACCACGGCCGUCCAGGUGAUGCUGGUGGUCGAAAAGGAGGACUAGGAAAACAGCCGACAAACAAAAUACACGGUUAAUUACAAAGUAUUUUUCAAAGUAAACCUGCAAACUUCUCAGGACUUGCUGCCAGCUGUGAAGAAGAAAUUGCUGUUCUGGGAGCAACCCAAUUAAACUACGAAGAAGAAACUGCAAACUGUACAAACAGUUGAAUAAUUGAGGGGCCAGCAUGUAGCAGAGGAUGUGGUCUUGAGUGCAAGCGGGAGAGACCGAGCUCAGACGGUUAUCCAAUCCAGAGGCUGGCUGCAGGACAAAAUGGAGGCAGAGUGCGAUGAACCCGUUUACAUUGGUAUACUGAAAUAAAUGGAUUCAAAACAUAAAUACCG
ensembl:lncRNA